AAGGAUCUCUUGAGUAGAGGUGGG
rnacentral:piRNA from 1 species